rnacentral:rRNA from 1 species
AAUAGAUACCCGGUAGUCCUAGCCGUAAACGAUGCAUACUGGAUGUAGGAGGGCUCAACCCCUUCUGUAUCGGAGCUAACGCGUUAAGUAUGCCGCCUGGGGAGUACGCUCGCAAGGGUGAAACUCAAAAGAAUUGACGGGGGCCCGCACAAGCAGUGGAGCAUGUGGUUUAAUUCGAUGCAACGCGAAGAACCUUACCCAGGCUCGAAGUGUAGAGAAAAACAGCAGAAAUGUUGCGUCCCGAAAGGGGCUUUAUAUAGGUGCUGCAUGGCUGUCGUCAGCUCGUGCCGUGAGGUGUUGGAUUAAGUCCCGCAACGAGCGCAACCCUUAUCGUCAGUUGCCAACGCGUAAUGGCGGGGACUCUGGCGAGACUGCCCAGGUUAACUGGGAGGAAGGUGAGGAUGAUGUCAAGUCCGCAUGGCCUUUAUGUCUGGGGCUACACACGUGCUACAAUGGUCGGUACAGAAGGUAGCGAAGCCGCGAGGCGGAGCAAAUCCGAAAAACCGAUCUCAGUUCAGAUUGC